UACGUAGGUGGCAAGCGUUGUCCGGAUUUAUUGGGUUUAAAGGGUGCGUAGGCGGCCUUAUAAGUCAGUGCUGAAAUAUCCCGGCUUAACCGGGAGGGUGGCAUUGAUACUGUAGGGCUUGAGUAAAGUUGAGGUUGGCGGAAUUGACGGUGUAGCGGUGAAAUGCUUAGAUAUCGUCAAGAACACCGAUAGUUAAGACAGCUAACUAAGCUUUAACUUACGCUGAGGCACGAAAGUGUGGGGAUCAAACAGG
rnacentral:rRNA from 1 species